UCCCCAUGUAAUGGAGGUGGCGGAGUUGAUUUUAAAGAAGAUGAAUGAAGGGAAACCCUCAGCCCAGGCAUCUUCAUCCUGUUUAUCACAAGAGUCAUAUCAAAAGUGUGAGCCUAAACACGAUUCAAAAC